UGAUUUAGGCAUGAAACUAUUAUAAUCGGCUGGGCUUCGUCUCCUUCGUGAUGAUUGGUUUCAAAUUAAGGGUUUUGUUUUUGGUUUGAUUCGAGAACGAAACUACAACAAUCGGCUGGGCUUGGUCUCCUUCGUGAUUGAUUUGGUUGUACUGAUCUGAUCUAGGGUUGUUUGGUUUGAUUCGGGCAAGAAGCUAUUUCAAUC